rnacentral:rRNA from 1 species
AACGAACGCUGGCGGCAUGCCUAACACAUGCAAGUCGAACGAGACCUUCGGGUCUAGUUGCUCACGGGUGCGUAACGCGUGGGAACCUGCCCUUAUGUUCGGAAUAACUCCCCGAAAUGGGUGCUAAUACCGGAUAAUUUCUUCUGACCAAAGAUUUAUCGCCCUUGGAUGGGCCCGCGUUGGAUUAGCUUGUUGGUAUUGUAAAAGCCUAUCAAGGCUACGAUCCAUAGCUGGUUUGAGAGGAAGAUCAGCCACACUGGGACUGAGACACGGCCCAGACUCCUACGGGAGGCAGCAGUGGGGAAUAUUGGACAAUGGGCGAAAGCAUGAUCCAGCAAUGCCGCGUGAGUGAUGAAGGCCGUAGGGUUGUAAAGCUCUUUUACCCGGGAUGAUAAUGACAGUACCGGAAGAAUAAGCUCCGGCUAACUCCGUG